rnacentral:lncRNA from 1 species
CUGAGAAUGUUGCCAUUAUUUUAGGAUUAUCCCUAAAUGGGGUGCCAUUGAUAUGAAAAAGGCUCUCCAAAGUGUGGUUAGGACCAUAUAUUUUGUAGAGAAGAUAGUUAGGAGGGAUGCAUUGGAAGAUAAUAUCAAAAUAUUGUUGUCUCAUUUAUCUUCCUUUGCGAUUUGAUCCACAGUGCCAUUACUUAUUACAUACCUUCUAGGUACAAUUUUAUUUUUUUUAUCAA